GACGAACGCUGGCGGCGUGCUUAACACAUGCAAGUCGAACGGAAAGGCCCUGCCUUUGUGGGGUGCUCGAGUUGCGAACGGGGGAGUAACACGUGAGUAACCUGCCCCUGACUUUGGGAUAACUUCAGGAAACUGGGGCUAAUACCGGCUAGGAGCUCCUGCUGCAGGGUGGGGGUUGGAAAGUUUCGGCGGUUGGGGAUGGACUCGCGGCUUAUCAGCUUGUUGGUGGGGUAGUGGCUUACCAAGGCUUGGACAGGUAGCCGGCCUGAGAGGGUGACCGGCCACAUUGGGACUGAGAUGCGGCCCAGCCUCCUACGGGAGGCAGGAGUGGAGAAUAUUGCACAAUGGGCGGAAGCCUGAUGCAGCAACGCCGCGUGCGGGAUGACAGCCUUCGGGUUGUAAAGCGCUUUCGCCUGUGACGAAGCGUGAGUGACGGUAAUGGGUGAAGAAGCACCGGCUAACUACGUG
rnacentral:rRNA from 1 species